UACGUAGGGUGCGAGCGUUAAUCGGAAUUACUGGGCGUAAAGGGUGCGCAGGCGGUCCCGCAAGUCAGGCGGGAAAUCCCCGGGCUUAACCUGGGAAUGGCACUUGAAACUACGGGACUGGAGUAUGGCAGAGGGAGGUGGAAUUCCACGUGUAGCGGUGAAAUGCGUAGAGAUGUGGAGGAACACCGAUGGCGAAGGCAGCCUCCUGGGCCAAUACUGACGCUCAUGCACGAAAGCGUGGGGAGCAAACAGG
rnacentral:rRNA from 1 species